UGCAGAACAGUUUAGAAUCUUCAAGUAUUUCUGAAGGAGGCAGAGAUUAUGAAUUUUUUGAUGACCCCUUACCACAAAAUUACAGUUAUAAUGAAAUGAGACAGCUGCUUUCUGAGGGAGCUGGAAAAGAGGCUACAGUGACAGAGGAUGCAACAAGUCCCAAGAUGGAAAACAUUUCUGAAAGUUCUGAUAAGGGUAGUGAUAAUCCUGAAAAUAAUUCUUCUAAAAUACCUGAUAGCUCAGAUGUCUGGAAUGACUCUGGAAAGAAUGGUUGUGGCCAAGCCACAUCAAUUCCUUUGAUGGAUAAACCACAGGAACCUCUGGAAGAAGGGCAAGAAUGCUUAUGUGAAGUGACUCCUAACCAUCCAGACAUUUGUAAUUCUGAUUUAGUAUCUUUUAAUAAUAGCUUAGAACUGAUGAAGAUGAAUGAAAAUUCUUGCACAGAUGAGUUUAAGAAAAAUCCUUCUGGAUUUGUUAGUGUUCCUGAUAUUACACAUAUGUCUGUGGUGGAAAAUUCAUUUUCACUUGAAAUAGCUUCUGGGAGAAAUGAAAACUCUGAAAAUGUAGAACCUGCUACUUAUCUUUGUGGAGAGCCAUUUGCAGUGCUUAAUGACAACUUUCCCCAAACUGCUUGGGAUUCACAUCCAUAUGAAGAUUUUCUGUCUCCUGCAACAAGUCCUGAGGCCAGUGAAGUCCUUGAAAUAGCAAAUACCACAAGCAGCCUUUCAAAAGAUAUACAGAUCAAAAGCUAUUUGGAAGAAGAUAAUGUGUGGAGUAAUUCAAUAAAUUAUUACACACACUCAAGUGGAACAAGUCCUGACUUAAGUGAUACAUCUGUGAAUGUAUGGGGAGACCUUCCAGUUGCUAGUCAUCAUGAGAAAAGCGGGGAUGUGUGGGAGAUGAAAAAUAAUAAAAAUCUUGCAGAUUCUUUUAAAAAGCAGGAAUUUGGGAAUGGAUAUGAAGAAGGAUUAGAAACAAGUGGCGAAGAGAACAAGGUUCCUAAAAGCUUAGAUUUUUGGAAUGCCCAUGUAGAUGAUGAUACUGUAUCUUCGUUAUCAAGUCCUGACAUAAAUGAGGAUUCAGAGAAUUCAGAGGCAUGUCCAGAAGUGAUUAAUGAAGAUUCAAUGUGUGAAAACAAACAGCACAAAGGAGCUGAAAAUAAAGAGGAUUAUGAUCAGUCUAAUGCAACAAGUCCUGAAGCUAAUGAGGACAAUUUAGGUGCAAAAACUAAGGUGGGAGAGAAGCUCCUGGUAAGCACCUCCAAUGAAAAUUCUGAAACA
rnacentral:lncRNA from 1 species